rnacentral:rRNA from 1 species
AGCGAACGCUGGCGGCAGGCCUAAAACAUGCAAGUCGAACGCCCGUAGCAAUACGGGGGUGGCAGACGGGUGAGUAACACGUGGGAACGUACCCUUUGGUUCGGAACAACACAGGGAAACUUGUGCUAAUACCGGAUAAGCCCUUACGGGGAAAGAUUUAUCGCCAGAGGAUCGGCCCGCGUCUGAUUAGCUUGUUGGUGAGGUAACGGCUCACCAAGGCUACGAUCAGUAGCUGGUCNGAGAGGAUGAUCAGCCACACUGGGACUGAGACACGGCCCAGACUCCUACGGGAGGCAGCAGUUAGGAAUCUUGGACAAUGGGCGCAAGCCUGAUCCAGCCAUGCCGCGUGAGUGAUGAAGGCCUUAGGGUUGUAAAGCUCUUUCAGCGGGGGAAGA